GGCCGCGGGAAUUCGAUUGGAUCGCCCUUAGAGUUUGAUCAUGGCUCAGGAUGAACGCUAGCGAUAGGCCUAACACAUGCAAGUCGAGGGGCAGCACAUGAAGUAGCAAUACGGAUGGUGGCGACCGGCGCACGGGUGAGUAACGCGUAUGCAACCUACCUACAACAGGGGGAUAACCCGUUGAAAGACGGACUAAUACCCCAUAAUACAGGGGUCCCGCAUGGGGAUAUUUGUUAAAGAUUAAUCGGUUGUAGAUGGGCAUGCGUUCCAUUAGCUGGUUGGUGAGGUAACGGCUCACCAAGGCAACGAUGGAUAGGGGAACUGAGAGGUUUAUCCCCCACACUGGUACUGAGACACGGACCAGACUCCUACGGGAGGCAGCAGUGAGGAAUAUUGGUCAAUGGACGCAAGUCUGAACCAGCCACGUCGCGUGAAGGAAGACGGCCCUACGGGUUGUAAACUUCUUUUGUAAGGGAAUAAAGUGAGUCACGUGUGACUUUUUGCAUGUACCUUACGAAUAAGGAUCGGCUAACUCCGUGCCAGCAGCCGCGGUAAUACGGAGGAUCCGAGCGUUAUCCGGAUUUAUUGGGUUUAAAGGGUGCGCAGGCGGGAGAUUAAGUCGGCGGUGAAAUUUUGCAGCUCAACUGUAAAGUGCCAUCGAUACUGGUUUUCUUGAGUGUGGAUGAAGUAGGCGGAAUUUGUGGUGUAGCGGUGAAAUGCAUAGAUAUCACAAGGAACACCGAUUGCGCAGGCAGCUUACUAAACCA
rnacentral:rRNA from 1 species